rnacentral:lncRNA from 1 species
AGCCGUGGUGAGUGUGACAACACCGGGAAGGCCAUGCCAGGGCCCUGGACCCAAGUCUCGCCCUAGUGGAGCAGCCACGGGUCUAGACAGCACCAGUUACCAGAGAGAGUGACAAAUGGAAAAGCUGGAUGGAUGGAAACAAUGACCAUCUAAUUUGGUGUAAGAGAAGACCCAUAACUUCCCAGGAAGGCUGUGGCAGCAAGUAGUCCUCUUUAGGGAUGCUGGUAUUGGUCUCCACUUCUCUAAAAGGAAGGGGUAUCACCGUUCCUUUCCUUCCAAGACAGAAACCAUCUGACAACAGCCUGAGAAACUGUAAGUUUCAAUUACUAUGAACCAUGCCCUCUGCUAGGCACAGGGAUUUAAUCAUCAGAAAAAGAGUCCCUGGCCUCCUGGUCCAGUACCCUACCCCUACUUCGUUCUGAGUUGUGGCUCGCUGUUUUUUUGGCCGGGCUCCCACAGUAUACAGUACCUCCCUACCCAGGGCUCCAGAGGAAAGAGCCAGGAGUGUGCAGGCACAAAGGGGCUUGUGCCCAGCACCAGGGUGCCUACCAGGCUUGGUGCCCUGGCAGCCACUGGGAGAAUACACCUGACCCUGGCCGUCCUGAACCAGCCUUGUCUACCCCAGGGCAGAGACAGUGGGACUUGUAGGUAUAGAACUUCUUGGCCUCAGAAGCUGCUUCUGUGCCACUGAGCCCAGUGGUGUCACCAGGGGAAAACUGGGGUGAGGAGGCCCAGCCCUUCUACCAAGUCAUCAAAAGCAGUGAUAGAUCGAAAAAGCCAUUUCCCAGCCUUUUUCCAUGCCUCCAUGUGGGGGGGCACCUUGCCCAUGGACCAAGUCCCAGUGAUAAGACCCUCAGUGGGAACAGAUUUUUCAAGCAACAUGCUCAAAUUCCCUCCCAAGUCCUUUCUAAGUAUGCUUCUGAUAGGGAUGGAGUAGGAUAGUUACACAGGUAGUUAUUUAAGUCCAAGUAGGGGACCAUGGAUAGAGAGGGAAACCUAGGGGAUUUUGGGAGAUCACUGUAAGUUAAUGAUCACUGAAGACAUCCAUCAGAAUGAAGCAUGUUUGCUUAACUAUAAAACCAUAAAUAAAAGCAUGAGAUAUGCCUCAUGUCAUUAAGUGAAAGAUAAAACAAGGCCUGCAUUCAAGUUCAGCAAGACAAUGAUCCUUAAGACCAAGCACAGGAAUUUAAGGAAAAGAUGACAUUCCCAAGUAGGAGAGCCUCUUUAUGCAGAACCCUGAGAUGAUUUAACAUAUUUAACAUACAUUACUACCCUUCUGCUGAUUAGAAUAAGUACCAUCACAGUCCUAGUUUGACCUCAUAGGGUCGAAUACUCUUAUGGGAUAUGAAAGAGGAGCUAAUGAUGUAAGCCUGACAUCUACUCCUCUACUUGAAGGAUAAGGAAGAAGGUGGUCUUUUCCCCUCCCCACUUUCCUUGGAUUAUAAAACCGUAGCCCACAGAAUCCUUGAGACAGAGCUUCUUUGCCUGCCUGGUUGUAUCCCUCACAAGCGUCCUAUCUUAAUAAAUCUAUUUCUUGCCU